rnacentral:misc_RNA from 1 species
AACUUUCGACAACGGAUCUCUUGGCUCUCGCAUCGAUGAAGAACGCAGCGAAAUGCGAUAAGUAAUGUGAAUUGCAGAAUUCAGUGAAUCAUAGAAUCUUUGAACGCACCUUGCGCUCCUUGGUAUUACGAGGAGCAUGACUGUUUGAGUGUCAUUAAUAUAUAUCAUACUUCUCUUGUUUGAGUUGUUUGGAUGUGGGGGUUUGCUGGCCUCUUAAAAGGGGUUCAGCUCUCCUGAAAUGCAUUAGAAGAACAACCGAGUUCAGUGGUGUGAUAACUAAUCUACACUGUUUAAAGUGAAGGCCAGUUCAGCUGUCUACCGGUCUUUGGACAAUUUUGUCAUUAAUGUGUCCUCAAAUCAGGUAGGACUACCCGCUGACCUUAAGCAUAUCAAUAAGCGGAGGCU